rnacentral:lncRNA from 1 species
GCACAUGCCCAGUACCCAUGAAGACCAGAAGAGGGCAUGAGAUGCUUCAGUGUUACAGAUGGUUGUGAGCCACCUUGUGGGUGCUGAGAACUGAACUCAGGUCCUCUGCAAGAGCAGCAGCCUUUCCAUCCCUGCUUACAUGGAGGAUGAGUGGAUGCCAUGAAUGGAUGUCGAAGAUAGAGAUGGAGGUGGGAGGGGCACCCGGGCCUUGCACAGGACCUCAGGAGUCAUUUGGCCAAGGUCAGCCUGAACCCGAGAGGAGGCCAGGCUCACCGGGUUUCCAGAACAAUGUUUUGUCCAUUUGUGUCGCCACACCUCAUAUCACAACACUUCGUUCUACUUCUGAAUUUUGGGUCUAAACUACGGAAGACCAACCAAGGCUCUCAGAACAUGAGGUCUUGGGGCACCAAGGAACGAGUUACAGCGUCAGGAAAACAGCGUCACCAUGCAACACACAAAACAACCCUGUUUUGUACCAGAUGCAUCCUCUUACUCUCCGAAGCUGCCCUUCUCACACACGCAGUUG